rfam:Tremella mesenterica DSM 1558 unplaced genomic scaffold TREMEscaffold_8, whole genome shotgun sequence.
AUCCUCUCUGGCCUCUUUUGGCUAAGAUCAUGUGUAGUAUCUGUUCUUAACGCUGUGAGAAGCGUUACAACCCUACGGGGUUUACUUCUCGCGAUAUUUCUCUGCGCCCGGCUGGACCUCUGUGCUUGCACACGUUCACGCCACGAUGUCGCUGGCCAUUCACUAUCGCCUUCUGAUGUCAGGGUUC